rnacentral:rRNA from 1 species
GACGCUGGCGGCAUGCCUAAUACAUGCAAGUCGAACGAGAUCUUCGGAUCUAGUGGCGCACGGGUGCGUAACGCGUGGGAAUCUGCCCUUGGGUUCGGAAUAACAGUUGGAAACGACUGCUAAUACCGGAUGAUGACGAAAGUCCAAAGAUUUAUCGCCCAAGGAUGAGCCCGCGUAGGAUUAGCUAGUUGGUGGGGUAAAGGCCUACCAAGGCGACGAUCCUUAGCUGGUCUGAGAGGAUGAUCAGCCACACUGGGACUGAGACACGGCCCAGACUCCUACGGGAGGCAGCAGUAGGGAAUAUUGGACAAUGGGGGCAACCCUGAUCCAGCAAUGCCGCGUGAGUGAUGAAGGCCUUAGGGUUGUAAAGCUCUUUUACCCGGGAUGAUAAUGACAGUACCGGGAGAAUAAGCCCCGGCUAACUCCGUGCCAGCAGCCGCGGUAAUACGGAGGGGGCUAGCGGUGUCGGAAUUACUGGGCGUAAAGCGCACGUAGCGGCAUUAAGUAGAGGUGAAGCCCGGGCUUACCCGGACUGCUUUAACUGAUUGUUGAAUCCGGAGAGGGAGUGGAAUCCAGUGAGAGGGAAUCGAAAUUUCGAAACC